UUGAACGCUGGCGGCAUGCCUUACACAUGCAAGUCGAACGGCAGCACGGGAGCAAUCCUGGUGGCGAGUGGCGAACGGGUGAGUAAUAUAUCGGAACGUGCCCAGUCGUGGGGGAUAACGCAGCGAAAGCUGUGCUAAUACCGCAUACGACCUGAGGGUGAAAGCGGGGGAUCGCAAGACCUCGCGCGACAGGAGCGGCCGAUAUCGGAUUAGCUAGUUGGUGAGGUAAAGGCUCACCAAGGCGACGAUCCGUAGCUGGUCUGAGAGGACGACCAGCCACACUGGAACUGAGACACGGUCCAGACUCCUACGGGAGGCAGCAGUGGGGAAUUUUGGACAAUGGGGGCAACCCUGAUCCAGCCAUUCCGCGUGAGUGAAGAAGGCCUUCGGGUUGUAAACUGCUUUUGUACGGAACGAAAAGACUCCUUCUAAUAAAGGGGGUUCAUGACGGUACCGUAAGAAUAAGCACCGGCUAACUACGU
rnacentral:rRNA from 1 species